GGGAGUAUAGCUCAGUGGUAGAGUGCAUGCUUAGCAUGCAUGAGGUCCUGGGUUCAAUCCCCAGUGCCUCUA
rnacentral:tRNA from 1 species